GACGAACGCUGGCGGCGUGCCUAAUACAUGCAAGUAGAACGCUGAAGGAGGAGCUUGCUUCUCUGGAUGAGUUGCGAACGGGUGAGUAACGCGUAGGUAACCUGCCUGGUAGCGGGGGAUAACUAUUGGAAACGAUAGCUAAUACCGCAUAAGAGUAGAUGUUGCAUGACAUUUACUUAAAAUGUGCAAUUGCAUCACUACCAGAUGGACCUGCGUUGUAUUAGCUAGUUGGUGAGGUAACGGCUCACCAAGGCAACGAUACAUAGCCGACCUGAGAGGGUGAUCGGCCACACUGGGACUGAGACACGGCCCAGAAUCUUACUGGAGGCAGCAGUAGGGAAGCUUCGGCAAUGGACGGAAGUCUGACCGAGCAACGCCGCGGGAGUGAAGAAGGUUUUCGGAUCGUAAAGAUCUGUUGUAAGAGAAGAACGAGUGUGGGAGUGGAAAGUUCACACUGUGACGGUAUCUUACCAGAAAGGGACGGCUAACUACGUG
rnacentral:rRNA from 1 species